rnacentral:rRNA from 1 species
UUAAGGCCCCCAGCAGACUACUGGGUUGAUAGGCCAGAGAUGGAAGCCCUGUGAGGGGUGGAGUUGACUGGUACUAAUAGGCCGAGGGCUUGCCACAACAU